rnacentral:tRNA from 1 species
GCAUCGGUGGUUCAAUGGUAGAAUGCUCGCCUGCAACGCGGGCGGCCCGGGUUCGAUUCCCGGCCCAUGCA